rnacentral:rRNA from 1 species
ACGGGUGAGUAACACGUGAGUAACCUGCCCCUGACUCUGGGAUAAGCCCGGGAAACUGGGUCUAAUACCGGAUAUGACCAUGGGACGCAUGUCUUGUGGUGGAAAGAUUUAUCGGUUGGGGAUGGACUCGCGGCCUAUCAGCUUGUUGGUGAGGUAAUGGCUCACCAAGGCGACGACGGGUAGCCGGCCUGAGAGGGUGACCGGCCACACUGGGACUGAGACACGGCCCAGACUCCUACGGGAGGCAGCAGUGGGGAAUAUUGCACAAUGGGCGCAAGCCUGAUGCAGCGACGCCGCGUGAGGGAUGACGGCCUUCGGGUUGUAAACCUCUUUCAGUAGGGAAGAAGCGAGAGUGACGGUACCUGCAGAAGAAGCGCCGGCUAACUACGUGCCAGCAGCCGCGGUAAUACGUAGGGCGCAAGCGUUAUCCGGAUUUAUUGGGCGUAAAGAGCUCGUAGGCGGUUUGUCGCGUCUGCCGUGAAAGUCCGAGGCUCAACCUCGGAUCUGCGGUGGGUACGGGCAGACUAGAGUGAUGUAGGGGAGACUGGAAU